AAAAAAAAAAAACUAUUGUUGCUUUCAAUUAUUUCUUUCUUUUAAUUUCUUUGACCUUCUUCUCUAUUGACUUGCAUCCAUAAACAAAAAUUGGAUUUGAGAUUGUUCUCGAUGAAAGGAAUCUGGGGAAAAGGGAAUACUCGAGCUCGACUGGUGAUUGGAACCACCAUAGAAUGUCGUUGAUAUCCAUAAGCAAGCCACCAUCUCCAAACAACAGUCACCUGUUGUAAAUCCAACGUUCAUCUCCACCUUCACUUCGAUUUUGUAUUUGGGUUUUUUUUAAUCUUCAUCUCCAGUGGUAGAUCGAAGAUGGUUUAUGUGUUUCUGUUUUCUAGGAUUCUAAAGAGGAAGAUGGUGGAUUGAUGAUGAUAGAUCGAAUCUUCACCUCUAUCUUCAGAUUUCAUCUAUACACCAAAUCUUUAUCAUCAAAUCUAGGGUUUUUGGAAAAUUAGGAUUUUGCUGCAUUUUUUUUUCAAAUCAAGAUCAAAGAGGAGAUUCAUCUAUGCUUUCGUGUUCCGUUUAUACAAAUUGGAGCUACCAAUUGGACAUGUUCGAUACUAUGCGAUUCAAGCUUUUUCUGGUUAAAAAAAGAACUGUCUUGAAACUUUUUUGUUGUUGAAGAUGAUUUGAAUGUUUUUCCUUUAGUAAAUCUGGGUUUAGACAUCAUUUUAUCGGAUCCCAAAUUUUAGAUUGA